rnacentral:rRNA from 1 species
GACGAACGCUGGCGGCGUGCCUAACACAUGCAAGUCGAACGCCUGUAGCAAUACAGGAGUGGCAGACGGGUGCAAAACGCGUGGAAACCUAUCCUUGGGUUCGGAAUAACCGCGGGAAACUGCGGCUAAUACCGGAUACGUCCUACGGGAGAAAGAUUUAUCGCCCAUUGAGGGGUCCGCGUCUGAUUAGCUAGUUGGUGAGGUAAUGGCUCACCAAGGCGACGAUCAGUAGCUGGUCUGAGAGGAUGAUCAGCCACACUGGAACUGAGACACGGUCCAGACUCCUACGGGGGGCAGCAGUGGGGAAUAUUGGACAAUGGGCGCAAGCCUGAUCCAGCAAUGCCGCGUGGGUGAUGAAGGCCUUCGGGUUGUAAAGCCCUUUUGGCGGGGACGAUGAUGACGGUACCCGCCGAAUAAGCUCCGGCUAACUUCGUGCCAGCCGCCGCCGUAACAC